GAGGGUAUAGCUCAAGUGGUAGAGCGCAUGCUUAGCAUGCAUGAGGUCCUGGGUUCAAUCCCCAGUACCUCCU
rfam:Camelus ferus unplaced genomic scaffold scaffold455, whole genome shotgun sequence.